CCCUUAGAUGUCCUGGGCUGCACGCGCGCUACACUGAUGUGUCCAGUAAGCACCUAACCUCUUCCGAAAGGAACGGGUAACCUUUGCAAAGCACAUCGUGAUGGGGAUAGAUUAUUGCAAUUAUUAGUCUUGAACGAGGAAUACCUAGUAAGCACAAGUCAUCAGCUUGUGUUGAUUACGUCCCUGCCCUUUGUACACACCGCCCGUCGCUCCUACCGAUUGAAUGUUCCGGUGAGCUCUUCGGACUGCGCGGUCUGCAGUUUCUGCGUUCCGUGCGGAAAGUUGCGCAAACCUUAACAUUUAGAGGAAGGAGAAGUCGUAACA
rnacentral:rRNA from 1 species